UACAGAGGGUGCAAGCGUUGUUCGGAAUUAUUGGGCGUAAAGCGCGUGUAGGCGGCUUUGCAAGUUGGGUGUGAAAGCCCUCGGCUCAACCGAGGAAGUGCGCCCAAAACUGCAUAGCUCGAGUACCGGAGAGGGUAGCGGAAUUCCCCAAGUAGAGGUGAAAUUCGUAGAUAUGGGGAGGAACACCGGUGGCGAAGGCGGCUACCUGGACGGCUACUGACGCUGAGACGCGAAAGCGUGGGGAGCAAACAGG
rnacentral:rRNA from 1 species